GUAUCCAACCUGCCGCUUACUCGGGGAUAGCCUUCGAAGAAAGAUUAAUACCCGAUGGUAUAAAGAGUUCGCAUGUUCUCUUUAUUAAAGAAUUUCGGUAAGCGAUGGGGAUGCGUUCCAUUAGAUAGUUGGCGGGGUAACGGCCCACCAAGUCUACGAUGGAUAGGGGUUCUGAGAGGAAGGUCCCCCACAUUGGAACUGAGACACGGUCCAAACUCCUACGGGAGGCAGCAGUGAGGAAUAUUGGUCAAUGGACGAGAGUCUGAACCAGCCAAAAGUAGCGUGAAGGAUGACUCGCCCUAGUGGGUUAGUAAACUUUCUUUUAGUAAGGGAAUAAAGUGAGGGACGUCGUCCCUUUUGUAUGUACCUUAUGAAUAAGGAUCGGCUAACUCCGUGCCAGCCGCCGC
rnacentral:rRNA from 1 species